AAUGAAGGCAGUUUGGUCUGGCUUGAAUGAAAAGCUUAGCAGUAGUUCAACCAAAGUAAGAAUUCUGUUACUUCCAGAAAGUCUACUGAACAGUAGCUAACUGGAGGUUGUGUGUCCUGUCAGACUGUCCCUUCUAAAGGAGCAACCUCAGGAAAAGCAAUAGUGAAAACAGCUGAGAUGAGCCUUUCUUGUGUUUACACUGAAGGACCCUGAAUGAGGGCCUAGGCAAACAAAGAUGAAAAACACAUUUGUGAGAAAGCUUCAAAUCCCCAUCAUCCCAUCUCCCUGGACUGUGGCCUAGUCAUCAGGUUAUACACUGGAAGCUCAAGCUGAGGGUGAUACGCUGGAUUGCUGCUGAAGACUGAAACUGCAGUGACUGAUGCAGCUUCAGAUGCUUCUUUCUCUUUCAAGGGGGUGGUUUCCAACUGAGGGCUACAGCUGUGACUACCAGAUGUCAUCCCUCAACACUAGGGACAUAUUGAGCAUAAACUGCAUUGCUUUUCAUCACUCCUCUGUCACAGGGAUGAAGCAGUCUUGGAUUUAAAUAUGGAUUUAAAUGGAUUUUGGUUAAAAAAGGACACCUCAUAGCCUAAGUAAACAAUAUAUGCAAGGAGAAAGCAAAUGGCACUUUAGCUGUAAUAAGGAGUCUGUUUUCCUCCCCAGUUCUAGGUACUGCAUGACCUAACCUUUGUAACUCUUGGUUAAACUAUCCUUUAAUUAUACUGUUGCAUUUGCAAAAGCCAGGCACGUGUCGAAUGGGGCUGCCAGAAUUUAGCAAGAAAUUCAGCCUGCCAGAUUUUGAAAAUCUGACUUGAAGGGAAGUGUUCUUUCUUGCACAACAAACUAAAUCAAUUUCUAGUUCUCUUGUACCUAGCUUUUCCCUCACUUGAUUUAUAUUACAUUCCAUGCUGUUACACACAAAUGAAACUGGAGAAAAUUAAUAAGAAAGAAAAAUUUGGCUUAAUAGGUCUGGCUUUGGAGUUGAGAAACCAGAACCCCCAUUGCCUGUGUAUGUGCCUUCCAGCUACUGAGACUGUAAACUCCGUGUUGGGAAUAGGACUGCAUUAAUCUUUCUAGAUUACUGCUGUUGGCAUUACAAAGGAAAAGCCAUAGGAUUAAGCAAAAUAAUAGUUACUGGACUACUGGUCGCAUAUUUACUUGUAAAUACUGUAACACCACUCACUUUUUGCUCUUUGACAAUUUAUAUCAGCUAAAUACUUGAGUGCUAUGUUUUUCCUCCUGUAAAUGUCUAGUGAUACAUUGCCCAUUAGGUCAUAACAAAUCUUAGUUUUAAGUGCAAAGCCUCAACCAAAAAAGGUCUGGUUUUUAUAUAUGAUUCCCUGUGGUUUGCAAGAAGUGGGUGAGCAGUUAGGUCUUAGAUCUGGUUUUUGUUCCUUCUCUGUCAAGGAGGGCAGAAGAGUUAGAAUGAGAAAAAUAGAAGUUAUAUCUUCUACACAUGGUGUUGCACUAAUAAUAAUGAAUACAGAGGUAACAUUCUGUGGUCCUUUGAAUCUGCUGUUACAUAGAGAAAUCAAACUACUGAAAUACAGAAAAUGGACUGUAAGUCAAACAACAUUCAGAGAUUUUAACUGGAUCUUAUGAGCUGCAGCAAGGUUUUGGUUUUUUUUAUUACUAUGUAGAUUUUACUUGCAGUUUCAUAUAUGCUUGAUAUAUAUGCCUCAAAGAACUUAUGAAAAUUACAUUUCUGCAAUGCAAUAUUUUCCUCUGCUCUAUAAUCUCCUUUAUGAUAUGUUUAAGAGUUGUUUCAAGAUUUAAAAGUUUUUCU